rnacentral:rRNA from 1 species
AGCGUACACGGUGGAUGCCCUGGCAGUCAGAGGCGAUGAAGGACGUGCUAAUCUGCGAUAAGCGUCGGUAAGGUGAUAUGAACCGUUAUAACCGGCGAUUUCCGAAUGGGGAAACCCAGUGUGUUUCGACACACUAUCAUUAACUGAAUCCAUAGGUUAAUGAGGCGAACCGGGGGAACUGAAACAUCUAAGUACCCCGAGGAAAAGAAAUCAACCGAGAUUCCCCCAGUAGCGGCGAGCGAACGGGGAGCAGCCCAGAGCCUGAAUCAGUGUGUGUGUUAGUGGAAGCGUCUGGAAAGGCGCGCGAUACAGGGUGACAGCCCCGUACACAAAAAUGCACAUGCUGUGAGCUCGAUGAGUAGGGCGGGACACGUGGUAUCCUGUCUGAAUAUGGGGGGACCAUCCUCCAAGGCUAAAUACUCCUGACUGACCGAUAGUGAACCAGUACCGUGAGGGAAAGGCGAAAAGAACCCCGGCGAGGGGAGUGAAAAAGAACCUGAAACCGUGUACGUACAAGCAGUGGGAGCCUCUUUUAUGGGGUGACUGCGUACCUUUUGUAUAAUGGGUCAGCGACUUAUAUUCUGUAGCAAGGUUAACCGAAUAGGGGAGCCGAAGGGAAACCGAGUCUUAACUGGGCGUUAAGUUGCAGGGUAUAGACCCGAAACCCGGUGAUCUAGCCAUGGGCAGGUUGAAGGUUGGGUAACACUAACUGGAGGACCGAACCGACUAAUGUUGAAAAAUUAGCGGAUGACUUGUGGCUGGGGGUGAAAGGCCAAUCAAACCGGGAGAUAGCUGGUUCUCCCCGAAAGCUAUUUAGGUAGCGCCUCGUGAAUUCAUCUCCGGGGGUAGAGCACUGUUUCGGCAAGGGGGUCAUCCCGACUUACCAACCCGAUGCAAACUGCGAAUACCGGAGAAUGUUAUCACGGGAGACACACGGCGGGUGCUAACGUCCGUCGUGAAGAGGGAAACAACCCAGACCGCCAGCUAAGGUCCCAAAGUCAUGGUUAAGUGGGAAACGAUGUGGGAAGGCCCAGACAGCCAGGAUGUUGGCUUAGAAGCAGCCAUCAUUUAAAGAAAGCGUAAUAGCUCACUGGUCGAGUCGGCCUGCGCGGAAGAUGUAACGGGGCUAAACCAUGCACCGAAGCUGCGGCAGCGACGCUUAUGCGUUGUUGGGUAGGGGAGCGUUCUGUAAGCCUGUGAAGGUGUGCUGUGAGGCAUGCUGGAGGUAUCAGAAGUGCGAAUGCUGACAUAAGUAACGAUAAAGCGGGUGAAAAGCCCGCUCGCCGGAAGACCAAGGGUUCCUGUCCAACGUUAAUCGGGGCAGGGUGAGUCGACCCCUAAGGCGAGGCCGAAAGGCGUAGUCGAUGGGAAACAGGUUAAUAUUCCUGUACUUGGUGUUACUGCGAAGGGGGGACGGAGAAGGCUAUGUUGGCCGGGCGACGGUUGUCCCGGUUUAAGCGUGUAGGCUGGUUUUCCAGGCAAAUCCGGAAAAUCAAGGCUGAGGCGUGAUGACGAGGCACUACGGUGCUGAAGCAACAAAUGCCCUGCUUCCAGGAAAAGCCUCUAAGCAUCAGGUAACAUCAAAUCGUACCCCAAACCGACACAGGUGGUCAGGUAGAGAAUACCAAGGCGCUUGAGAGAACUCGGGUGAAGGAACUAGGCAAAAUGGUGCCGUAACUUCGGGAGAAGGCACGCUGAUAUGUAGGUGAGGUCCCUCGCGGAUGGAGCUGAAAUCAGUCGAAGAUACCAGCUGGCUGCAACUGUUUAUUAAAAACACAGCACUGUGCAAACACGAAAGUGGACGUAUACGGUGUGACGCCUGCCCGGUGCCGGAAGGUUAAUUGAUGGGGUUAGCGGUAACGCGAAGCUCUUGAUCGAAGCCCCGGUAAACGGCGGCCGUAACUAUAACGGUCCUAAGGUAGCGAAAUUCCUUGUCGGGUAAGUUCCGACCUGCACGAAUGGCGUAAUGAUGGCCAGGCUGUCUCCACCCGAGACUCAGUGAAAUUGAACUCGCUGUGAAGAUGCAGUGUACCCGCGGCAAGACGGAAAGACCCCGUGAACCUUUACUAUAGCUUGACACUGAACAUUGAGCCUUGAUGUGUAGGAUAGGUGGGAGGCUUUGAAGUGUGGACGCCAGUCUGCAUGGAGCCGACCUUGAAAUACCACCCUUUAAUGUUUGAUGUUCUAACGUUGACCCGUAAUCCGGGUUGCGGACAGUGUCUGGUGGGUAGUUUGACUGGGGCGGUCUCCUCCUAAAGAGUAACGGAGGAGCACGAAGGUUGGCUAAUCCUGGUCGGACAUCAGGAGGUUAGUGCAAUGGCAUAAGCCAGCUUGACUGCGAGCGUGACGGCGCGAGCAGGUGCGAAAGCAGGUCAUAGUGAUCCGGUGGUUCUGAAUGGAAGGGCCAUCGCUCAACGGAUAAAAGGUACUCCGGGGAUAACAGGCUGAUACCGCCCAAGAGUUCAUAUCGACGGCGGUGUUUGGCACCUCGAUGUCGGCUCAUCACAUCCUGGGGCUGAAGUAGGUCCCAAGGGUAUGGCUGUUCGCCAUUUAAAGUGGUACGCGAGCUGGGUUUAGAACGUCGUGAGACAGUUCGGUCCCUAUCUGCCGUGGGCGCUGGAGAACUGAGGGGGGCUGCUCCUAGUACGAGAGGACCGGAGUGGACGCAUCACUGGUGUUCGGGUUGUCAUGCCAAUGGCACUGCCCGGUAGCUAAAUGCGGAAGAGAUAAGUGCUGAAAGCAUCUAAGCACGAAACUUGCCCCGAGAUGAGUUCU